rnacentral:miRNA from 1 species
CUUUUCCUUGCCCUGCUGCUACAGUUUUUUAACAUGGUAUACAGUAGGGUGGGGGAAGAUGGGAC